rnacentral:rRNA from 1 species
UACAGAGGUCUCAAGCGUUGUUCGGAUUCAUUGGGCGUAAAGGGCGCGUAGGCGGCUAGGCAAGUCAGGUGUGAAAGCCCCGAGCUUAACUCGGGAAUUGCAUCUGAAACUGCUGUGCUUGAGUUCUGGAGGGGGUAGUGGAAUUCCCAGUGUAGCGGUGAAAUGCGUAGAUAUUGGGAGGAACACCUGCGGCGAAGGCGGCUACCUGGACAGAAACUGACGCUGAGGCGCGAAAGCUAGGGGAGCGAACGGG